rnacentral:rRNA from 1 species
UACGUAGGGGCAAGCGUUGUCCGGAAUCAUUGGGCGUAAAGCGCGUGUAGGCUGCAAUGUAAGUCGGGAUGUGAAAGCCCUUGGCUCAACCAAGGAAGUGCAUCCGAUACUGCGUCGCUUGAGUGUCGGAGGGGUCGGCGGAAUUCCCGGUGUAGAGGUGAAAUUCGUAGAUAUCGGGAAGGACACCUGUGGCGAAGGCGGCCGACUGGACGAGUAACUGACGCU